UAGGGAAUCUUCCACAAUGGACGCAAGUCUGAUGGAGCAACGCCGCGUGAGUGAAGAAGGUUUUCGGACCGUAAAGCUCUGUUGUUGGUGAAGAAGGAUAGAGGUAGUAACUGGCCUUUAUUUGACGGUAAUCAACCAGAAAGUCACGGCUAACUACGUGCCAGCAGCCGCGGUAAUACGUAGGUGGCAAGCGUUGUCUGGAUUUAUUGGGCGUAAAGCGAGCGCAGGCGGAAGAAUAAGUCUGAUGUGAAAGCCCUCGGCUUAACCGAGGAAUUGCAUCGGAAACUGUUUUUC
rnacentral:rRNA from 1 species